rnacentral:rRNA from 1 species
CCUACGGGAGGCAGCAGUGGGGAAUUUUGGACAAUGGGCGCAAGCCUGAUCCAGCAAUGCCGCGUGAGUGAAGAAGGCCUUCGGGUUGUAAAGCUCUUUUGUCAGGGAAGAAACGGCUGAGGCGAAUACCUUUGGCUAAUGACGGUACCUGAAGAAUAAGCACCGGCUAACUACGUGCCAGCAGCCGCGGUAAUACGUAGGGUGCAAGCGUUAAUCGGAAUUACUGGGCGUAAAGCGUGCGCAGGCGGUUUUGUAAGUCUGACGUGAAAUCCCCGGGCUCAACCUGGGAAUUGCGUUGGAGACUGCAAGGCUGGAGUCUGGCAGAGGGGGGUAGAAUUCCACGUGUAGCAGUGAAAUGCGUAGAGAUGUGGAGGAACACCGAUGGCGAAGGCAGCCCCCUGGGUCAAGACUGACGCUCAUGCACGAAAGCGUGGGGAGCAAACAGGAUUAGAUACCCUGGUAGUCCACGCCCUAAACGAUGUCUACUAGUUGUCGGGUCUUAAUUGACUUGGUAACGCAGCUAACGCGUGAAGUAGACCGCCUGGGGAGGUAACGGUCGCGAGAGUAAACUUACAAGUAGAGUUAGAGGCGNGAGAGNGCCGACGGACGACGACGAGGGAGGAGG